ACGCUGGCGGCGUGCCUAAUACAUGCAAGUCGAGCGAACGGACGAGAAGCUUGCUUCUCUGAUGUUAGCGGCGGACGGGUGAGUAACACGUGGAUAACCUACCUAUAAGACUGGGAUAACUUCGGGAAACCGGAGCUAAUACCGGAUAAUAUUUUGAACCGCAUGGUUCAAAAGUGAAAGACGGUCUUGCUGUCACUUAUAGAUGGAUCCGCGCUGCAUUAGCUAGUUGGUAAGGUAACGGCUUACCAAGGCAACGAUGCAUAGCCGACCUGAGAGGGUGAUCGGCCACACUGGAACUGAGACACGGUCCAGACUCCUACGGGAGGCAGCAGUAGGGAAUCUUCCGCAAUGGGCGAAAGCCUGACGGAGCAACGCCGCGUGAGUGAUGGAGGUCUUCGGAUCGUAAAACACUGUUAUUAGGGAAGAACAUAUGUGUAAGUAACUGUGCACAUCUUGACGGUACCUAAUCAGAAAGCCACGGCUAACUACGUGCCAGCAGCCGCGGUAAUACGUAGGUGGCAAGCGUUAUCCGGAAUUAUUGGGCGUAAAGCGCGCGUAGGCGGUUUUUUAAGUCUGAUGUGAAAGCCCACGGCUCAACCGUGGAGGGUCAUUGGAAACUGGAAAACUUGAGUGCAGAAGAGGAAAGUGGAAUUCCAUGUGUAGCGGUGAAAUGCGCAGAGAUAUGGAGGAACACCAGUGGCGAAGGCGACUUUCUGGUCUGUAACUGACGCUGAUGUGCGAAAGCGUGGGGAUCAAACAGGAUUAGAUACCCUGGUAGUCCACGCCGUAAACGAUGAGUGCUAAGUGUUAGGGGGUUUCCGCCCCUUAGUGCUGCAGCUAACGCAUUAAGCACUCCGCCUGGGGAGUACGACCGCAAGGUUGAAACUCAAAGGAAUUGACGGGGACCCGCACAAGCGGUGGAGCAUGUGGUUUAAUUCGAAGCAACGCGAAGAACCUUACCAAAUCUUGACAUCCUUUGACAACUCUAGAGAUAGAGCCUUCCCCUUCGGGGGACAAAGUGACAGGUGGUGCAUGGUUGUCGUCAGCUCGUGUCGUGAGAUGUUGGGUUAAGUCCCGCAACGAGCGCAACCCUUAAGCUUAGUUGCCAUCAUUAAGUUGGGCACUCUAAGUUGACUGCCGGUGACAAACCGGAGGAAGGUGGGGAUGACGUCAAAUCAUCAUGCCCCUUAUGAUUUGGGCUACACACGUGCUACAAUGGACAAUACAAAGGGCAGCGAAACCGCGAGGUCAAGCAAAUCCCAUAAAGUUGUUCUCAGUUCGGAUUGUAGUCUGCAACUCGACUACAUGAAGCUGGAAUCGCUAGUAAUCGUAGAUCAGCAUGCUACGGUGAAUACGUUCCCGGGUCU
rnacentral:rRNA from 1 species